GAAGCCUGAACUCGAGUAGGGCCCAAGCCAGCCAGGAAGGAGGAGGCAGCCAGAGUGUUCUCUGCAGCAGAAGACCCCCUGCUGCCCUGCUUAACCCAGACCAGCAUUUGCCAGAUGAAUGCAUGCAUCUCCUCCCUAAAAGAACUGUAUGGGUUACAAGAAACUGCUCAAAGCCCAAUGUUACACAUUUUCCUUUGUGCUAUUCAGUGGGGUGGAAGAAAUAUGUAUGCCAUCCUGAGCUCCUUGAAGAAAGGUGGGAUACAAAUGUCAUACAUGGAUAGAAAGACAGACAGACAGACAAAUUUCACUGCAAUUGCUGGAUGGGAAUUGUUUUAGCUGACUCAAGAUGUUCAUGAAGUUCCUAAACCAGCAAGAAGACUGCACGCAGAAGUACCUUCUGUGUACACAUGUGCAUUGCUGGACUGGGGUACCUGUGCUCAAUUUUAAAUGCUCAGUUUGUGAUCCAUUAUGAAAUCCUUGCUCAGGGCCAAUGCAAGCACAAUAAGAGAUUAGGUUUGGAUGUCAUAUUUUUAAAAGUCCAGCAGUAGUUGAAUCAAUGCCUAAAAUAGUCUCAGAACAGCUUGCCUUGUUAAAGGUGACCUACAAUUUUUCAGGCAGGCUUUCCGCAAGGGAGUCUAAAAGGGGACUCCAACAUGCAAUCAUCUGAAGCAUGUUCAUCUGCUUAGGGACUGAGCUGCAGUCGAGAUUCCAUACCCAUCGUUAAAGAAGGAAUUUAAUCAAAGACAGUUUUUGUGUAUACUGUAUUUUCCAAAGGCAAAUAAAUCCCCAGUACAGGCUCUUCAAUUAUUAAGCAAGGUGAUAAAAUAUGGUAAUAUUUAUUUAUUAUUAUUCUGUCCACAAUUUAGAACAAAAUGUAAUUUUUCACUAGUAUUCCGCUGGAGAUGAUCAGUGGCCUAAAGCAUGUUUCUUAUGAGGUAAGGCUAUAACACCUGGAGCUUUAGAAAAAAGAUGACUGAGGAACAACAUAAUUGAAGUCUAUAAAAUUAUGCCUGGUGUGGAGAGAGAGAAAUUUUUCUCCCUCUUGCAUAACACUAGAACCAGGGGUCAUCGCAUGAAACUGAUUGCCAAAAGAUUUAGGACAGACAAAAGGAAGUACUAUUUCACAUAAUGCAUAAUUAACCCAUGGAAUUCCCUGCCAAAAGAUGUGAUGACAGCCACCAGCCUGGAUGGCUUUAUGAAGGGCUUAGCUAAAUUCAUGGAGGACAAGUCUAUCAAUAGCUACUAGUCUGAGGGCUAUAGGCCACCUCCAGCCUAAAUACCAGUUGCAAGGGAGCAACAGCAAGAGAGAGGGAAUGCCAUCAGAUCUUGCCUGUGGGCUUCCCGAAGGCAUCUUGUGGGCCACUGUGUGAAACAGGAUGCUAGACUAGAUAGGCUUUGGGCCUGAUCCAGCAGGGCUGUUCUUAUGUUGGAGUGUUUCAGUCUUCUAACUUCCAUAGUCAAGCUUUUAGUUUAUAGUUUUAAAAUUUUAAGUGUUAGAGUUUUUAUCUGUAUUUUAAACUGUUUUAAUUGUAUUAAUGUUUUCAUUGUGUUUUCAGAUGGUGAACUGCUCAAGGAUUUGCAUAUGGGGCAGUAUAAAAAUGUGUUAGUUAGUUAAAUAAAUAGCACAAACUACCAUGCUUGUAGAUAAUAAUCUAAUCCAUCAUUCCCAUGGUUUCCCCUUUCUUUUGUUAGUAUCCUCUGAAAAAUAAAUGUGUAGCUUCUGGAUA